CGCAGUCCACCAAGGGGUUACCCAAGUGGUUGAUUUGUAGGUGAGGGUGAUUGCGAAACCAAGAACUCGAAGGUGAUCGCGAGAACACAAAGGACAUGGCGGAUUUUAGACAGGUUCGGGCCUCCAGAGAGUAAUACCAUACGUCCUAUAUACUGGAUUGUAGUGCUUUGCGUUGCUGUGUGGAAUAGUUCGGAUACCCUCAGGGGUGCCCUAGGCCGCCUUAUAUAGGUUGAUGACCUAG
rnacentral:lncRNA from 1 species